AGUGAACGCUGGCGGCAUGCCUAACACAUGCAAGUCGAACGGCAGCACGGUAGCUUGUACCUCUUGCCGGUUGGCGAACGGGUGCGUAUUACAUCUGAACCUGUCCUUACGUUUUGAUAGCGCGUCGCAAGCCGGAUUAAUACCUCAUACCGUCUACGGCCUACGGCGGGGGGCCUUCGGGCUUCGCGCCAUGCGGUUGUCCGAUGGCGGAUUAGCUAGUUGGUGGGGUAAAGGCCUACCAAGGCGACGAUCAGUAGCUGGUCUGAGAGGACGACCAGCCACACUGGAACUGAGACACGGCCCAGACUCCUACGGGAGGCAGCAGUGGGGAAUUUUGGACAAUGGGCGAAAGCCUGAUCCAGCAAUGCCGCGUGUGUGAAGAAGGCCUUCGGGUUGUAAAGCACUUUUGUCGGGAAAGAAAUCCUUGGCCCUAAUACGGUCGGGGGCUGACGGUACCGGAAGAAUAAGCACCGGCUAACUACGUG
rnacentral:rRNA from 1 species